rnacentral:rRNA from 1 species
CACGGUGGAUGCCUUGACACUAGGAGUCGAUGAAGGACGGGACUAACGCCGAUAUGCUUCGGGGAGCUGUAAGUAAGCUUUGAUCCGAAGAUUUCCGAAUGGGGAAACCCACCAUACGUAAUGGUAUGGUAUCCUUAUCUGAAUACAUAGGGUAAGGAAGACAGACCCAGGGAACUGAAACAUCUAAGUACCUGGAGGAAGAGAAAGCAAAUGCGAUUUCCUGAGUAGCGGCGAGCGAAACGGAACAUAGCCCAAACCAAGAGGCUUGCCUCUUGGGGUUGUAGGACAUUCUAUACGGAGUUACAAAGGAACGAGGUAGACGAAGCGACCUGGAAAGGUCCGUCGUAGAGGGUAACAACCCCGUAGUCGAAACUUCGUUCUCUCUUGAAUGUAUCCUGAGUACGGCGGAACACGUGAAAUUCCGUCGGAAUCUGGGAGGACCAUCUCCCAAGGCUAAAUACUCCCUAGUGAUCGAUAGUGAACCAGUACCGUGAGGGAAAGGUGAAAAGCACCCCGGAAGGGGAGUGAAAGAGAUCCUGAAACCGUGUGCCUACAAAUAGUCAGAGCCCGUUAACGGGUGAUGGCGUGCCUUUUGUAGAAUGAACCGGCGAGUUACGAUCCCGUGCGAGGUUAAGCUGAAGAGGCGGAGCCGCAGCGAAAGCGAGUCUGAAUAGGGCGUUUAGUACGUGGUCGUAGACCCGAAACCAGGUGAUCUACCCAUGUCCAGGGUGAAGUUCAGGUAACACUGAAUGGAGGCCCGAACCCACGCACGUUGAAAAGUGCGGGGAUGAGGUGUGGGUAGCGGAGAAAUUCCAAUCGAACCUGGAGAUAGCUGGUUCUCCCCGAAAUAGCUUUAGGGCUAGCCUUAAGUGUAAGAGUCUUGGAGGUAGAGCACUGAUUGGACUAGGGGUCCUCAUCGGAUUACCGAAUUCAGUCAAACUCCGAAUGCCAAUGACUUAUCCUUAGGAGUCAGACUGCGAGUGAUAAGAUCCGUAGUCAAAAGGGAAACAGCCCAGACCGCCAGCUAAGGUCCCAAAGUGUGUAUUAAGUGGAAAAGGAUGUGGAGUUGCUUAGACAACUAGGAUGUUGGCUUAGAAGCAGCCACCAUUUAAAGAGUGCGUAAUAGCUCACUAGUCGAGUGACUCUGCGCCGAAAAUGUACCGGGGCUAAAUACACCACCGAAGCUGCGGAUUGAUACCAAUGGUAUCAGUGGUAGGGGAGCGUUCUAAGGACAGUGAAGUCAGACCGGAAGGACUGGUGGAGUGCUUAGAAGUGAGAAUGCCGGUAUGAGUAGCGAAAGACGGGUGAGAAUCCCGUCCACCGAAUGCCUAAGGUUUCCUGAGGAAGGCUCGUCCGCUCAGGGUUAGUCAGGACCUAAGCCGAGGCCGACAGGCGUAGGCGAUGGACAACAGGUUGAUAUUCCUGUACCACCUCUUUAUCGUUUGAGCAAUGGAGGGACGCAGAAGGAUAGAAGAAGCGUGCGAUUGGUUGUGCACGUCCAAGCAGUUAGGCUGAUAAGUAGGCAAAUCCGCUUAUCGUGAAGGCUGAGCUGUGAUGGGGAAGCUCCUUAUGGAGCGAAGUCUUUGAUUCCCCGCUGCCAAGAAAAGCUUCUAGCGAGAUAAAAGGUGCCUGUACCGCAAACCGACACAGGUAGGCGAGGAGAGAAUCCUAAGGUGUGCGAGAGAACUCUGGUUAAGGAACUCGGCAAAAUGACCCCGUAACUUCGGGAGAAGGGGUGCUUUCUUAACGGAAAGCCGCAGUGAAUAGGCCCAAGCGACUGUUUAGCAAAAACACAGCUCUCUGCGAAGCCGUAAGGCGAAGUAUAGGGGGUGACACCUGCCCGGUGCUGGAAGGUUAAGGAGAGGGGUUAGCGUAAGCGAAGCUCUGAACUGAAGCCCCAGUAAACGGCGGCCGUAACUAUAACGGUCCUAAGGUAGCGAAAUUCCUUGUCGGGUAAGUUCCGACCCGCACGAAAGGUGUAACGAUUUGGGCACUGUCUCAACCAGAGACUCGGUGAAAUUAUAGUACCUGUGAAGAUGCAGGUUACCCGCGACAGGACGGAAAGACCCCGUGGAGCUUUACUGUAGCCUGAUAUUGAAUUUUGGUACAGUUUGUACAGGAUAGGCGGGAGCCAUUGAAACCGGAGCGCUAGCUUCGGUGGAGGCGCUGGUGGGAUACCGCCCUGACUGUAUUGAAAUUCUAACCUACGGGUCUUAUCGACCCGGGAGACAGUGUCAGGUGGGCAGUUUGACUGGGGCGGUCGCCUCCUAAAGUGUAACGGAGGCGCCCAAAGGUUCCCUCAGAAUGGUUGGAAAUCAUUCGUAGAGUGCAAAGGCAUAAGGGAGCUUGACUGCGAGACCUACAAGUCGAGCAGGGACGAAAGUCGGGCUUAGUGAUCCGGUGGUUCCGCAUGGAAGGGCCAUCGCUCAACGGAUAAAAGCUACCCCGGGGAUAACAGGCUUAUCUCCCCCAAGAGUCCACAUCGACGGGGAGGUUUGGCACCUCGAUGUCGGCUCAUCGCAUCCUGGGGCUGUAGUCGGUCCCAAGGGUUGGGCUGUUCGCCCAUUAAAGCGGUACGCGAGCUGGGUUCAGAACGUCGUGAGACAGUUCGGUCCCUAUCCGUCGUGGGCGUAGGAAAUUUGAGAGGAGCUGUCCUUAGUACGAGAGGACCGGGAUGGACGCACCGCUGGUGUACCAGUUGUUCUGCCAAGGGCAUAGCUGGGUAGCUAUGUGCGGAAGGGAUAAGUGCUGAAAGCAUCUAAGCAUGAAGCCCCCCUCAAGAUGAGAUUUCCCAUAGCGUAAGCUAGU